AUACUUACCUGGCAGGGGAGAUACCAUGAUCACGAAGGUGGUUUUCCCAUGGGUGAGGCUUAUCCAUUGCACUCCGGAUGUGCUGACCCCUGCGAUUUCCCCAAAUGUGGGAAACUCGACUGCAUAAUUUGUGGUAGUGGGGGACUGCGUUCGCGCUUUCCCCUG
ensembl:snRNA U1 U1 spliceosomal RNA